GACGAACGCUGGCGGCGUGCCUAAUACAUGCAAGUGGGACGCAAGGGAACACACUGUGCUUGCACACCGUGUUUUCUUGAGUCGCGAACGGGUGAGUAACGCGUUGGUAACCUGCCUAUUAGCGGGGGAUAACUAUUGGAAACGAUAGCUAAUACCGCAUAAUAUUAAUUAUUGCAUGAUAAUUGAUUGAAAGAUGCAAGCGCAUCAUAGUAGAUGGACCUGCGUUGUAUUAGCUAGUUGGUAAGGUAAGAGCUUACCAAGGCGACGAUACAUAGCCGACCUGAGAGGGUGAUCGGCCACACUGGGACUGAGACACGGCCCAGACUCCUACGGGAGGCAGCAGUAGGGAAUCUUCGGCAAUGGACGAAAGUCUGACCGAGCAACGCCGCGUGAGUGAAGAAGGUUUUCGGAUCGUAAAGCUCUGUUGUAAGUCAAGAACGUGUGUGAGAGUGGA
rnacentral:rRNA from 1 species